GUGGUGUCUUAGUCAUACGAGACGACCUCUUAUUUGUCUUUAAUGCGUGAACUGAAACAGGAACCCACCUUUUACCAAACGGGCCUCGUUUUUCUUCCUUCUUGCCGAUGUCAGCGCUCAGCUUGGAAAUAAUUCUGGGAGGACACACAAAGGAUGAGAAAUUUGACUUUUCAAAGGCCGGUAUACAAAUCUCCGGAGGCGCGUGAAGCGCUGCCACCUCAAGUGAAACUUUUGCGAUUGUUUUCAAUUUAUUCAAAAGGCUUACGGUGUGUGAAGUUUGGGGAAUUUCUGCAGAUCGUUCUCACUCAAGUUCUGCAAACACAAAAUGAUGCGUCUCUUUUUUUCUUCCAAAACGAAAAAGUAAUAUCCAGAUGCAGGGGUCAAGACAAGGGGGCGAGCCGCAGCAUGUCGGACCAACUGGAGACAUUUGACGAUCGUCGUAAGCUGAGUCAAAAACGACAAAGGCAACGAGCGCGAGUGAUGCUCCCGCCACGAACAGGCCUCCCGCCCAAACUCAUCUGAGACGGGCUUCAGCUGGAUUUCCCUUUGUCGCAAUUGACAAAAGUGAGCCUGACCUUCCUCAGGUAGUCAGCCAGCUGCUGAGGGCUCCAGUCCUCGACCUCCGAGCGGGACGGCGCCCGGCUGCAGUUCAUCUCACGUGCCCCCCUUUGCCACUCGAGACUUUGCGAUAAGUUUUCUUUGCUGAGGCCUCACAAUCGACUUCCAGCGCUUCCUCUUUUCUGCCGUGCCCUCUGCGACAAGCUAAAGUUCAGUCUCACCCAGCCCAAUGAUU